UACGGAGGGGGCUAGCGUUGUUCGGAAUUACUGGGCGUAAAGCGCACGUAGGCGGCGAUCUAAGUCAGAGGUGAAAGCCCGGGGCUCAACCCCGGAACUGCCUUUGAGACUGGAUUGCUAGAAUCACGGAGAGGUGGGUGGAAUUCCGAGUGUAGAGGUGAAAUUCGUAGAUAUUCGGAAGAACACCAGUGGCGAAGGCGGCCCACUGGACGUGUAUUGACGCUGAGGUGCGAAAGCGUGGGGAGCAAACAGG
rnacentral:rRNA from 1 species